GACGAACGCUGGCGGCGUGCCUAAUACAUGCAAGUCGAGCGCUGAAGGUUUGUACUUGUACCGUCUUGAUGAGCAGCAAACGGGAGAGUAACGCGUGUGGAAUCUGCCUUUGAUUGGGGGACAACAUUGGGAAACGAAUGCUAAUACCGCAUAAAAACUUUAAACACAGUGGGGAAGGUUGAAAUAUGCAAUUUCGGCACUCAAGGAUGAUCGCUCGGGUUAUUAGCUAGUUGGUGGGGUAAAGGCUCACCAAGGCGAUGAUGGGUAGCCGGCCUGAGAGGGUGACCGGCCACAUUGGGACUGAGGUACGGCCCAGACGCCUACGUGAGGCAGCAGUGGGGAAUAUUGCACAAUGGGCGGAAGCCUGAUGCAGCAACUCCGCGUGCGGGAUGACGGCUUGCGGGUUGUAAACCGCUUUCGCCGGUGACGAAGCGUGAGUGACGGUAAUGGGUAAAGAAGCGCCGGCUAACUACGUG
rnacentral:rRNA from 1 species